AUACGUAGGUGACAAGCGUUAUCCGGAUUUACUGGGCGUAAAGGGCGUGUAGGCGGUCUUGCCAGUCAGAAGUGAAAUUCCCGAGCUCAACUCGGGCGCUGCUUCUGAAACAGCAGGACUUGAGUGCUGGAGGGGAUAGCGGAUAUCCUAGUGGAGCGGUAAAAUGCGCAGAUAUUAGGAAGAAUACCGGUGGCAAAGGCGGCUAUCUGGACAGUAAAUGACGCUGAGGCGCGAAAGCGUGGGGAGCAAACAGGAUUAGAUCCCCUGGUAGUCCACGCCGUAAACGAUGAAUACUAGGUGUAGGGGGUAUCGACUCCCUCUGUGCCGCAGUUAACACAAUAAGUAUUCCGCCUGGGGAGUACGGCCGCAAGGUUGAAACUCAAAUGAAUUGGCGGGG
rnacentral:rRNA from 1 species